UGUCAGAAGGAAUUGAAAUCUUCAAGAUUACUGAUUUAUUAAGAACUGCAGAGUUGAAAUUUAAGGACGAAAUGUUAUGUAUACUUUUGCCUUUAUAUUGAUUGAGGGAAUAAUAAUGAACCAAUCAGUAGUUGAGGACUUCCAAGAGAAGAGCAUAUCUUAGUCAUUAUUUGUAUGCCGUUUAUCGUAACUCAGUUUUGAAUUUAAAAGGCCAAAGGCUUAUUUUG
rnacentral:misc_RNA from 1 species